UUUGAAGGAGCAAGAAAGACCAACAAAAAUUCUGGAGGCUUACCCAUGUUUCAAAGACCUGGAGCAUGUCCUGGAUGAGCUGCACAGAAUUAUUCAGCCAAACAAUUCCAAGUACAUCUCUGAGACAAAGGAGAGGAGUUUUAUGGAGUCAUGAAAAAAGUCAUGAAGCCUCCAAAGACUCUGAAUGGAGUGGAACAUGCCUUGGCUGUCUUCGGAGCCUCCGGAACUCCUCUUCCCAUCCAGCACUGUACCACCUAAGAAGUUGGGUGCAAGCAGUGAGGCCCUUUUCCAUGUCCUGACUUCAAAAGACCCUGAAGGACACCUACGCCAGCGGCCUCUGUUGUGUCCAGUUUUGCUUGUGACUGAAGAGAACUGCAUGAUUGCCAUUGGAUGCACACCAGUGACAACCUUUGACAGUGGGAGACUGCAUGAGGGACUGCUGUACCUUAUGGCCUAUUAUUAUUAUGUCCUGCACCUCACUUACCCAAAGUGUAUUUCCACACUGCCAGUGUUGCAAACAGAAAUUCUGCAAGACUCCAUCCACAACCAAGACACAACCCCCAUCUA